rnacentral:rRNA from 1 species
AUACAGAGGGUGCGAGCGUUAAUCGGAAUUACUGGGCGUAAAGCGCGCGUAGGCGGCUUAUUAAGUCAGAUGUGAAAUCCCCGGGCUCAACCUGGGAACUGCAUCUGAUACUGGUAAGCUAGAGUUUGGGAGGGGGAAGUAGAAUUUCAGGUGUAGCGGUGAAAUGCAUAGAGAUCUGAAGGAAUAUCAGUGGCGAAGGCGACUUCCUGGCCUAAAACUGACGCUGAGGUGCGAAAGCGUGGGUAGCAAACGGGAUUAGAAACCCCAGUAGUCC